rnacentral:rRNA from 1 species
AUUGAACGCUGGCGGCAUGCCUUACACAUGCAAGUCGAACGGUAACAGGUCUUCGGAUGCUGACGAGUGGCGAACGGGUGAGUAAUACAUCGGAACGUGCCUAGUAGUGGGGGAUAACUACUCGAAAGAGUGGCUAAUACCGCAUGAGAUCUACGGAUGAAAGCAGGGGAUCGCAAGACCUUGUGCUACUAGAGCGGCCGAUGGCAGAUUAGGUAGUUGGUGGGAUAAAAGCUUACCAAGCCGACGAUCUGUAGCUGGUCUGAGAGGACGAUCAGCCACACUGGGACUGAGACACGUCCCAGACUCCUACGGGAGGCAGCAGUGGGGAAUUUUGGACAAUGGGCGAAAGCCUGAUCCAGCAAUGCCGCGUGCAGGAUAAAGGCCUUCGGGUUGUAAACUGCUUUUGUACGGAACGAAAAGCCCUGGGUUAAUACCCUGGGGUCAUGACGGUACCGUAAGAAUAAGCACCGGCUAACUACGUGCCAGCAGCCGCCGUAA